GCUGGUGUAGCUCAGUUGGUAGAGCAGCUGUUUUGUACUCAGCAGGUCGCCGGUUCGACUCCGGCUACCAGCUCCA
rnacentral:tRNA from 2 species